rnacentral:rRNA from 1 species
CCUACGGGUGGCAGCAGUGAGGAAUAUUGGUCAAUGGGCGGAAGCCUGAACCAGCCAAGUAGCGUGAAGGAUGACGGCCCUACGUAUUGUAAACUUCUUUUGUCAGGGAAUAAAGCCCCUUACGUGUCCCGCUUUGCGUGUACCUUAUGAAUAAGGAUCGGCUAACUCCGUGCCAGCAGCCGCGGUAAUACGGAGGAUCCGAGCGUUAUCCGGAUUUAUUGGGUUUAAAGGGGGCGUAGGCGGCCUGUUAAGUCAGCGGUAAAAGCCCGGGGCUCAACCCCGGCGUGCCGUUGAAACUGGCGGGCUGGAGUUGGCGAGAAGUACGCGGAAUGCGCGGUGUAGCGGUGAAAUGCUUAGAUAUCGCGAAGAACCCCGAUUGCGAAGGCAGCUUGCCGGCGCGGAACUGACGCUGAGGCACGAAAGCGUGGGUAUCGAACAGGAUUAGAUACCCGUGUAGUC